UUUCAAUUCUAUAAAUUAUAAAUAACAUUAAAUAAAAAAGUUAAUGUUACUAAUUUUCCCAUUUAAAAAGUGUGGUUUAGUAAACUUUCUUAGUUCACCUGACUGUUGUCAGUCCUUUGACAAUCCCACCAGGACGUUUCCAAGGUGUGAACCAAAUGAGAACUCUUUGCAUCAGCGUUCCCAGUCUAGUGCAGCACAUAUCUAUGUAACUGUUGUCUAGAGGCAUCCAUCACAGUACCCAGAGCCGCUUCGCUGCGUUGUCAGCUCAGGUUCUGCGGUGCAGUUUGCUUGGCAGCCCAGGACGACUUCCUGCCGGGUAACAACAUCAAACUUUAUCGGCGACUGCUGAAAAGCGUGUCUCUCUGUCCCUCAUGAGUGGACUAUUCUGUGCGUUUGUUUCAGUGUUAUUGUUUUGUUUCUAUUGCGGAUCCCGCCUGUUUUCUUUCUUCGAUUCGUCCUCUCCUCCACCCUGCACCUUUCCUCUUUCCCCCUCCCAUCCACCAGCAAAACGCCUCUUCGGUUCGUACAAGACCAGGCACUGAUACUUAGAAAGCAUCUAAGAUUUGAAGCGCUGCUCCUGGAUCCUUUUAGCCAGAUAAUACUGAAUUGAUUCCACUGACAAAGGCUGUUGCUGGUGUCUGAGAAGGUGAGGACCAAAGAAGUGUCAACUACAAAGUCUGGCCGGCCAUCAUGACGUUGACGAAUUAGAAUAAAUGGGUUCAGCAAACGUUAGGCAUGCCAAAAAUCAACUGUCUGGUACAUUAAGAGGGUUGACCAGGUAGACCAAGGCAGAACUCUCUGGUGGAUAACUGAAGAAUGCUCCUGACACGAUAAAGAAAAUAACAACUGUCCUACAGAUCAGUAACACUGGAGACUGAAACGUACUGUUGUUUGGACUAUUUCUUGCUCUUGGUUUUCCAUGGAUAGAGACAACCUAGCCUCCCAAGACCCCAGAUCCCUUAAAGCAGUGAGAGUUGAGCUACAGCACCAGUGAACUUUUCAUUCUCCUUACCGCUACCAAGUUGCAUUUCUGCUAAUAAACACCUCCAGGUCUGUCAACAGGGACUCGUGCCUGUGUUCCGGGCCCCAUCUGUCAUUGAAUUAAAUUACAAAAUAUAUAUUCGGGCAUUGUCAAGUCAUUUGAAUACGAAUUUGUUUCAUGAUUCUGUAAG
ensembl:lncRNA